UAACCCUAACCCGAUCCCAUCUCCCUCCCUCCCUCGUUCUCCCGCCGCCAGCCACGCCGCCCGCCCCACCGCCUUCCUCCACCACAUCCCUCCAUCCCUCCUCCAUCUCCUCGAGCUCGCCAGGGCCAUCACGGCCUCCGACGCCGACUGGUCCCUACACGUCCUCGACCUCACCAACUGCAGCGGCCUCACGCCCGGCGUCGCACUCCCGUGCCUGGCGUCGCUCUGUCUCGUCCUCCCUCCAUCCCGCCGCCGACGAGGACUGCGAGGAGGAGCCGGGCGCCGCCCUCCCUGCCUCGCGCCGAGCCGCCCUCCAUCUGGCGGCCACACAUCCAGAUCCGGCCGCCGCCCCUACCUCCACCGACUGAUCCGGCUCCGGUUUGUUCUCUUUCUCUCCUUCUCUCUGAUUUCUCUCUCUCACUCUCUGAGUUCUCUCUUUCGACAGCCAUGGAGCACCACUGUGGAGAGGAGCCCGUCCCUGCCUCAUCCGGGGAUCCCCGUCGCCGCCACCGGGAGACGAGGAAGCCGCCGCCCCCUAGCCCGGCUGCCCUCGGAAUCGUCUCCAUCUUCCUCGAUUUGUUCGUGGCUGGCUCGGCUAGCAUUUUUGGCAAGCAAGUUGAUUGGCGAGUAGAUUUGGUGUUUUGUUUUGGUAUACGAACUUGUACUGUAUAUAGGAUCUGUACAAAUAUCUACUACCGGAUAUUUAGUGAUUUGUUGUAUAUACAGAUUUGCUGUGAUAUUUGAUUUGUGAUUUGGUGAAUUAAUUAACGUGCAGGCCUGGGGCUUGCCUUUUUGUUAAA